AACAAUUUGUUUUCUUGUAAAAGUAAAGAUUGAUUAUUCUUUUAUAAGGCUUUCCAAUAAUUCAUAUUGUAUUUGUUUUUAAUAAGUUUAUAAUACAUUCCAAUUUCAUUCAAAUGUAUUAUUAAACUUACAUUAUACAAAAGAUAUGCUGAUAAAUGAGGAAAACAUAUAAUGCAUAUAUGUGUUCUUUCAUUUUCAUUAACCAUUUUCUUCUAUUCUAUAAUAAAAAGGGUCAGUGGUAUCCAGAAAUAUUUUAAAAAUAUUCUAAUUCCAAAAUCCAUAAUUUCUUUUAUAUUUGUUAUUUUCUUUUUUUAUGACUAUUUGCCACUUUUCAACCUACCACUUUUUAGCCUACUUUCUGAAGGAAAUGGGGGUUAUAAAAUUGGGCCAAUGUGUUCCCCUCUAAUAACUUUUGAAUUAAUUAGCAGAUAUUCAUGAAAUUUAUAAUUAUGUUCUCCCAUUAAAAGACACCUGAUGCUGCAUCCUUUAAUUCUGCAG
rnacentral:lncRNA from 1 species